ACAGAGGAGGUGGGACUGGAUGUCUUAAAUCGCAUCAAGGUGGAUAAAGCCCUGGAACCUGAUCAGAUUCCAGUGAUUAAUGCCAAAGCCCCAUUGCCUGUGGAGAAGGUGAUGUUUGACUUCCUGUCCAGCUGCAGUUCAUGUGGUGAAGGUGCUCCCACAAUGUGGUUGGGUAACUGCUGUUAUAGAUUAUUCACUCAGCGACAGUGAAGAGUUGACAAUGGUGCUUAAUGGUGAAGAUUUGCAGACUGAAAUCUCAAACUCCUGUGCAGAUUGUGAUUAAGUUAACCAGCAUUUGAAGAACCAAAGAUGGAGAAUAACUUGGGCAAAAUCCAGCAACCCUGUCCCUCCCAGCAUUGUUGGUCUUUCUGCACCAAAUGGACUGUGAAUGGUACAAGACAGCAGCUCACUACCAUCUUCUCCAGGGUAACUAGAGAUGGGGAAUAAAUGCUGGCUGAGCCAGUGAUGCCCAUAUCCUGGAAAUGGUUUCUAUCUCUAGUUGCUGAACCCCAGUUGAUGUUACUGCAGGAUGGUGAGGGACGCUGAGUGCAUCCUCCAGGAGGCAGCACCAUCACAUUACCCCUGCCUACACCCACACAGUAACACAGCAACGUCACUGGAACAAAAGGCAGUGAAGCCA